rnacentral:rRNA from 1 species
UACGUAGGGCGCAAGCGUUGUCCGGAUUCACUGGGUGUAAAGGGUGCGCAGGCGGGAGUGCAAGUCAGAGGUGAAAUCUCACGGCUCAACCGUGAAACUGCCUUUGAUACUGCAUUUCUUGAGUUAGGGAGAGGUUGAUGGAAUUCCAGGUGUAGCGGUGAAAUGCGUAGAUAUCUGGAAGAACACCGGCGGUGUAGACGGCUUUCUGGACCGUAGCUGACGCUGAGACACGAAAGCGUGGGUAGCAAACAGG